UGACAUUUAAUAUUGAGGCAUGAUUGAUUGAUUUCUGAAAGCUGGAGUCCUAAAUUGACGGAUUUUUAAUAAACUGUGUACUCAUGUUGAACUUCGCUAUGCUUUACUUUGUUCAUUGUAAACUAGCUAUAAACCCAUGCAAUUCAAGGGAAUAGUUUAGUAAAAUUGCUUGAAAAUGAGAUAACAACAAGUUAAAGUGCAUAAUUUGAUGGGAAAAAUUAUAAUUUCAAAAUUUCCUUAUUGUCAAUUAAGUUGUAUGCUUCUAUAUCCACAAAGAGGGAAAAGAAGAAAGAUAAUGCAUUAUGUAAUGUUCAUGCUUAAGGUAGUUGAGAAAUCUCAAGAGGUUGAGCCAGCUGUCUUCAUAAAAUGACUCUUGUUUGAUAACAAUUAAUUGAACGUCACUUGUCAACUUUAUUGAAGUGUAAGUUAAUAUUUUGGAUUUUAUUGAUAGCUCCACACAUGGUUGUGCUGCUUUUUUAAAGAAAUUGCCAGGUGAAUAUGCACCAACAAUAUAACCAUAAAUAUUUAAUUAAAUUUGUAUGAUUUUUCUAAAUUUAGCUGAUCAUGGUUAUAUAUCCUCUUAACAUGAGAUGAAUUGACAGGUUUUCAAGAGCGGACCGCUUUUCAUAUCUUCAAAAGGUUGGUAAUCAUUCUUUCACUCUUCUUGCUUGAUCAAACAUGCUCAUUUACUUGGAAGUAACUUCCUGAGAAAUGAUACUUGCUAGGAAGUUAUUAACUAAGAAGUUGCUUGGCUCACACACUUUUCCCCAAAAGUGUAUUAAUUUUAUGUUCUGUUCACUUAUUAACUUCUUAGUAAUUAUGCUGUAAAAUACAAUAAUACUCUUAUUAAUAUAAAUUUAUUUUUAGGGAAAUUAUUUUAAAGUUAAUUCCCUUCUUCUUUCAAUCUGGGAGUUGAACAUACUGACCUCUCACUAGUAAGUUACUUCCUCACAAUUGAGGAAAUUGAGUGAUUGAAGGAGAAGUCCAACUUCCUUUCUGCAAUGGAAAACAUAUAGAAUUAUGUGCAAGUUUGAAUUUCUGUAGCAAUUUCUUGACAUCAUAUUAUGUUGUGAGAUUAGUCUUUUGCAAAAUGAUGCACAAAAGUUUGGAAUGUAUUAUUCUUAAUUCUGUUGAACACUCAAACUCGCUAUUUAGUUUUUAAAAAUUUUCCCAAUUCUGUUUGAUGUUGUGAGAUUAUCAUUAAUGGGAUUUAUGCCAAGACAAUUAUCAAUAGCUUUGUGCUUAGCGCUUACUACUUGUUAGUUUCCUUAUUAGUGUUUGUUUAUGGAUGGUUGUCACUAGUCUUGGUAUUGCCUGUUUGUUAGAGUCAUGAUGCUUUUAUGGACCAGUUUAGUGGGGAUCUAUUUAGUUGCAGUGGCUUUAUCCUGGGUUUACCUAUGUCAUGUAUUGUGAGCUUCCUUUUUGGAACGAUCAUUUAAGAAUAUUGGAGGGGCUGGAUUGUUUGUAAUCAAUAGGUAAAUAUGUUGAUUGCAAAUUGUGCAAGGAGGCUCGUGGAUUUGUUACUUAGUCACUUCUAACUUAAGGCACUUUUUUCUUGUUACCUAGGCAAUGUGUGUGAAUAUAUUAUGGCAUUAUGUUGAUGGUGGCGAAUGGUGGAAUUUUGUUAGUGAACUUAUUAGUAAUAUUGUAAGAAAAUGCCUUUGCUACUAAUAGUUGGUGCCUAAUUCCUUAGUGUGGCCUCCAGCUCUCAUUUUCUCCAUUUAAUACUUGAGUGAAGGAACUAUUGUAU
rnacentral:misc_RNA from 1 species